rnacentral:tRNA from 1 species
AAAGCUUUAGCUUGAUUAAAGCAUCUGCAUUGCAUGUAGAAGAUAUGAAUUUCAAUAUUCAUAAGUUUUU